AUGACCACGGCUGCACACUAUGUUAUGUUAACAGGCUUUUCCCUGAUACGGAUGCCACUGGAAGUCCUGCCUACCACCAUUUUCCAGCUACCAAAGCAUCACCAGGGCUCAGAGUGCUGUCACCAGUCGUGGUCCACCAGUGGGAAACGCAUGGGAAGGGGUGAGAGAAUCAGCAUGAGGUCCUGCCCGCCUGAUAUCAUGGCUGGAGCACUUGCUGCUGCCCCUUGCACUUCCUUGGCAUCCACCUGGGGAGCUGAGAGAAGAGGAUUGAUUCAGCUGCAGCCACGUCUCUUUUGAGGGGGAAAACCAGGCUGGGAAAUGGCGAGUGAAAGGAGAGUGGAGCUGGCAGAGGGGGCUGUGCCUCCAAAACCAAGGAGCUCGCAGCACCACUCCCAGCAGCUAAUUGGGGCAUUGCCUGCAGUGCCCAACCGUGCCAGCUUUGAAGUUGUUUUUUGUCCCUGCUCUGCAAUUAGUGCUCAGCAUUGACGCUGCUUUGGGUCCUGCUCUCCUCUCACAACAGCUGCUAUUGUGAAGGGACAAGCUGUAGAAAGAGGCUUAGGUUUGUUGAUCAGUGAGAGGGUGCCCUAACAACCACUGUGUCUUUUUUUUCCAACUCAGUGACAGUGAUAAACUUGAUUACCAGGUGAGGGUUUUUUUUUCUGAAUAGAGACAGGGAAGUAUUGGUACAUUUAUACUUUGGCAUUCUUCAGUGAAUUAUUUGUAUAGCUUUCAUUACCCAUGGUCCAGCAAGAUUAACUAAUUAAAUGGUUACAGUGAGAAGAAUGUCAUAUCUUCCUUUGCAGGAAACAUGAAAAGAAGCUGGCUUCUGAAACUGGUGACAUUAAUGAUGUCUCCUUAUAAAUAUGUUUUUGGGAACAGGGAGAAAGGGAAAAAUCACAGAGGGAGAAGAAGCAUUUGAGUUAAGUGACACUACUGGCUCCAACCCUACUGGCUAGAAAUUGGUCACAAGGGACUUCAGGCUUGAAAUUAGUAAAACCAUUCGAAGAUGAAAGUUCUGGAUCAGUCUCUCAAUUUUAAAAUGGAAUGUACCAAGUUAUUGAAAAGAUUGUGCAGCAGAGGAAGAAAAUUCUUAAUAAUAAACAAGACAUGCCCUCAGAUAACCCUGAACUAGCAUGUCCAAAGGGAUUGGAAAGGCAAUUAUGUCACCAUUCACAUUUCCCUUAUUAUUAGACCCAUGCUCUAGUGCAAAAGGGAUGUAGGAGCCACAGAGGAAGCCCUUUCUUCUCCCCACAACAGAUAGAUAGUGCAGGAUGUAUGGUGAAGUAAGAAGCUGUUCAGUGCUCUGGUGGAGGGAUGGUGCACCCCGUUUGUGUCCUUAGGUUUAAUCUCUGGAUUUAGAGCUGAACAGGAAUUUUCCUACAAACCAGGUGAGCAGUGCUUCCCUCCUGCCCUCAGCUUUGGGGAAGGCAUGGUCCAGUUCUAAGGUCAAUGUGGAAGCUCCCUGUGGCAGCCUCCUUCUACCAUCAGCAGAGAGAAACAUGCAUUUUGGGGGGGUAACUCAUCUAAAUAUAUUACAUAUUUACUUUGGGCUGAGACAAAGUCUGCUCCAAAGAUGCAUAUCCCUUCUUGUUGCCCACACUGGGAAUUGAGAUGGGUAGUUACACGUCAGAGGAAUCCUUUUGUCCUGAGGACAGGGUAUGGCAAAGAGAAAAAAGGAGUUUUUUCUCAGAACAGCUGCUCUGAUGAGUUCCCAGGGAAACAAGCAUUUGUUUAAGAUGGAAGGAAUUAAGUUCUUCAAAUCAUCAGUUUCCUUGGCCAUUCAAAACUUUCAUCAGCUCUCACCUCAUCAGUCCCUCUCUUUGAUGGAUGUCAGGGAGAGCUUUACCACCAAGCUUUGUGGAAGGAGAACUGAGCUAACAUGAAAGUAGUUUGUUGUGUGUGUGUGCCUGCAUGUGGUUAGCAGUGCAAAACAAGACUACAAGGCCUGCAGCUUUUCUGAGAUAUGCUCAUUUACAUCAAGAUGUGCUACCCAAUUACUACAGGGUCCUUUCAUGGCACUUUCCUUUUUUGAUUGUGGUUGAUCUUACACAUGUGAACGUUUAUGUGUGUGUACGUGAUGUGCAUGUGUAAGCCUUUACGUGGUAUGGGAAGAGGAAAUGUAUUGUUUGCCCAUUUAAAGAGGAGAGUGUUGGGGGUUUUCUUUCUCAUAGGAAAUAAUCAUGCUUUGUAAGCACAUUUCUUGUAAGUAGGUAUGGUUGAAAUGUUUAUAUUUCACUUUCAAGAAGUAAACUACUCUGAAUAUAAUACCAGUUAUACAACACUUGCAUGACUGCAUUAUCAUUUGAACUGAUGUGGAAACUAUUUUAAAAAUCAUCUUUGCUUUCUGGUGCAAUAACUUUCUUUCUGACAUACCUGAGAGAUAGAAGAGUCUGUUCUCACAUUGGUGAGGUUGAAAGUAACUGAAGUGGAAACAAGGAUAUUAUUUAUAUCUCAAUUACAGUACUGAGACAGAAUUAUGAAUUAAAGCAUUCUGGAAGCCUCCAGGAGUAUUUCAUUGCCUCUUUGUUUUAGUCCCCUUUCUCUUCUGGAAUAGCAGUAAGCUGUAUUGUGAGGAAGCUGGCAGGAAUUGGCCUCAGUCAACCAUUAGUUUAGAUGUGAAUUUGUGAAUCAGAGGCACAGACUGGCAUUUUGCUCACUUCUGUUUGGAGACAAGGCAGUGAAUGUAGGAUAAUCUCCUGAGUGACACUGUAUGGGCCCAUAUGGUCAAGUGUGGGUGAUUGUGCUUCUGCCCAGCGGUAGAUGUGUCAUCUACCAGAAGGCAUUUCCUUAUUUGAGUAUGUUCUGUUCUGUGCAGUACAGCCUGCUGAGGUAGGAAGGAAUAACUUGCCUUUAUAAUCUAUCUAUAUCUGUGAAUGAACUCUAUCCUGAAGCUGUUGAGGUGGAAGUCAUUUCCCCAGAGAAGUGACUCUCUAGACUUUGCUAGCUGACAGCUCCAUCCACUGUGUCUGUAUGCAUCCCUACUGGAUCAUGGGGGCUCAGCCUGGUGAAGGGUGGGUGGAGGGGGAGAAAAGCAGUUUUCACCCCAGAUCAACUGGUACAUUAAAACAAAAGAUCAGCCUUGAUUUAUAGCCACACUGACCACUGGUUACAACCCUUGUUGUUAGCAGAAGAGUUACAUUCAGCCCCUACAAUUUGACAUUAGAAGCAGAUUUAUUUCUUCACCUGAUUUUUGUGUGGAAGUAAGGUGGAAAACCACACAUAUCUCCUAGAAGCAGCCCUUUGGUUGAGCAUGGCUGAGCCAUCUCACCUGGAGCACACAUCAGCAAUUCUUAAACUGUGUGGCUUUUCACCUGUCAGGAAGAUGUGGUCUCUCCUGAGGCAGCUUUACUUUCAGCCACCCUGGGCAGCAGUGGCAGUGUCACCCCUCUCCCAGGCAUGCUGCCUAGGGUAUUUUCCACACAAAAAUCCAUGUGACUGAGGGAGGUCUGAGCUCCUGUUCAGCUCUUUGUCAAAAAGGAGGGAACCUAAGCUUAAAACAGAGUGUCUGGAGAGUUAUGCAGCUUGAAGAAACAAAUCCUGAACACCUGCUGAGGUGAGAUGUUGCUGCUAUUCUGAAGCAUGACUCUGUCUGGUGCCCCUCUACACCCAUGUUGAGGUUCUUCUGCUUGGAGUGAGCUUCUCAUGUCAGCUCUCCUUCAAAAACCCCCUCCCUCUUCCUUGAAUUAAGAUUCAGGAUGAGAAAACAUGUCCCUUUCCUCCAGAGAGAUCUUUUCUAAGAAAUUAUUCUUUUUGUUAUCUUGGUCUGUCUGGUCUUUCUCAUAAUUGGCUUGGCUAAGGCAGCCUGUUCUCCACCAUUGUCAUUCUGAUAAUAAAAUGCAAUUAUCAGGUUUAAGUUGCGUUAUGCCUUUACUGGAGUUUUACACUUCGAUCUGGAAGUCAAAUCACAAAGCAAACAUUGCAGAGAAGGUUAUAAUAACUCUCUGGGGAUUUCAGUUUGGCACAGACCUAUUUCUGCUGCUCAUCACAGGAUCAUCUAAUUUCCCAAUGUCCACGUAUAAUCGCAUCAAAUGGAUUUCACUGUUUUGAUUGCUUUUGAAACAACACAGCCAUUGUGUAACAAUCUGGGUGUGUGUGAACUAACACUCCUUGAGCACUCGAAGCAGGGAGCAGAAAAAGAGAAGGCAUCAGAAACUAGCUUGGUGAAGCCUUCUGUGGUUUAACCAGCAGAGCUGCAUGUAGGGAGCAAUGAGCUCCAUUGUGAGCACUGGAAAGCUCAAAGAAAUAAUGUUUAGCAAAGUAUUGUCACCAUCACUUCAUGACCCAUUAGCUCCUGUCCCACUGGUUCAAGAGGGCAUAAAAGCCAAAGGUCUGCUCCCACCUGGGAUAUUUUGUGGCUGCCAGUCACAGUCACGUGUGGUGAGGGUAGGUGCAGGUCUGGUCCAUGUGUGGGCUGCUCCUGAGGCCUGGGCCAAGGGCUGCUCCAGGAGAUGGGACUGCAUCAUGCGCUCCCCUGUAAGCCCUCCAUGAGCUGAUUUACCCCGAGUCAACCUCCCUGCCUGUGUGCCCACAGGGGCUUGGGGCCAGUGACCAGAGAAGGGCAAAUGAGAGAGCAACCAUCCUCUGCUGCCCUCAGAGGGGACCUCAGCACUGUUCUGGCAGGGAUGAUCUGAUCAGGUUGUGACCUGCUUGCUCUCAAUUUC
rnacentral:lncRNA from 13 species